rnacentral:rRNA from 1 species
UACGGAGGGUGCAAGCGUUGUUCGGAAUUACUGGGCGUAAAGCGCGUGUAGGCGGUUUCCUCAGUCUGGUGUGAAAGCCCGGGGCUCACCACCGGAAGUGCAUCGGAUACUGGGAGACUAGAGUACCGGAGAGGAGGGUGGAAUUCCUGGUGUAGCGGUGAAAUGCGUAGAUAUCAGGAGGAACACCGGUGGCGAAGGCGGCAUCCUGGACCGACACUGACGCUGAGGAGCGAAAGCCAGGGGAGCAAACGGG